AUUGAACGCUGGCGGCAUGCCUUACACAUGCAAGUCGAACGGUAACAGGUCUUCGGAUGCUGACGAGUGGCGAACGGGUGAGUAAUACAUCGGAACGUGCCCGAGAGUGGGGGAUAACGAGGCGAAAGCUUUGCUAAUACCGCAUACGAUCUCAGGAUGAAAGCAGGGGACCGCAAGGCCUUGCGCCUACGGAUCGGCCGAUGGCAGAUUAGGUAGUUGGUGGGAUAAAAGCUUACCAAGCCGACGAUCUGUAGCUGGUCUGAGAGGACGACCAGCCACACUGGGACUGAGACACGGCCCAGACUCCUACGGGAGGCAGCAGUGGGGAAUUUUGGACAAUGGGCGCAAGCCUGAUCCAGCAAUGCCGCGUGCAGGAAGAAGGCCUUCGGGUUGUAAACUGCUUUUGUACGGAACGAAACGGUCCUGGUUAAUACCUGGGGCUAAUGAUGGUACCGUAAGAAUAAGCACCGGCUAACUACGUGCCAGCAGCCGCCGUAACAC
rnacentral:rRNA from 1 species